rnacentral:misc_RNA from 1 species
AGCAGCCGCGGUAAUUCCAGCUCCAAUAGCGUAUAUUAAAGUUGUUGCAGUUAAAAAGCUCGUAGUUGAAUUUCGGGAUUGACGUGAUGGUCGUGCCUUACGGGGUAUGAACUGUUGCAGUCAAUUUCUCACCUUCUGGAGAAAUAUGAUGUCCUUAAUUGGGUGUCAUAUGGAACCAGAACUUUUACCUUGAAAAAUUAGAGUGUUUAAAGCAGGCUUAUUGCUCGAAUACAUUAGCAUGGAAUAAUAAAAUAGGACGGCAUGGUUCUAUUUUGUUGGUUUCUAGGAUCACCGUAAUGAUUAAUAGGGAUAGUUGGGGGCAUUAGUAUUCAAUUGUCAGAGGUGAAAUUCUUGGAUUUAUUGAAGACUAACUACUGCGAAAGCAUUUGCCAAGGAUGUUUUCAUUAAUCAAGAACGAAAGUUAGGGGAUCGAAGACGAUCAGAUACCGUCGUAGUCUUAACCAUAAACUAUGCCGACUAGGAAUCAGACGAUGUUAAUUUUUAAUGACUCGUUUGG